UACGGAGGAUCCAAGCGUUAUCCGGAAUCAUUGGGUUUAAAGGGUCCGUAGGCGGUUUAGUAAGUCAGUGGUGAAAGCCCAUCGCUCAACGGUGGAACGGCCAUUGAUACUGCUGAACUUGAAUUACUGGGAAGUAACUAGAAUAUGUAGUGUAGCGGUGAAAUGCUUAGAUAUUACAUGGAAUACCAAUUGCGAAGGCAGGUUACUACCAGUUUAUUGACGCUGAUGGACGAAAGCGUGGGGAGCGAACAGG
rnacentral:rRNA from 1 species